UGAAUUACCUUGAUGUGUGCUCCUCACUU
rnacentral:piRNA from 1 species